GGGAAUCAACCAGCCUGCCUGUCUCACACAUUGUUCUCUCUCUCUGAACUUUCAGAAUUUUCCAACUGUACCAACUAUCCCAUAAUUGCAUUGUCUUCUAUCACCCCUACAGAAUCUUGCUUAUGUAGUGGGUAAGGCUGUGUUAACUUGGUUUCCUGUCUGCAAUGCUUGUAUCACCAACUAGAUACAUAGGCCUUGAAUAUAGGCCAGUGUCUUCCCAUCUUGAUGUCUUGCAGAUAUUGUCACAUGGUGAUGUCAAGUUAAGAUGCUAGAGUUUCCAACUGUCAUGUAUCCUGGAAAGGCGCUGCAGUGAAGCAUCAUUAGCUGGUCAGUCAAUAACUUUCAGCAGACAUGAAUUGAGUGCCUACUGCCUGUGAGACACUGUUCACUGCCCUUGUGUGUGUGUUAGAGGGGGUGGUCAGGGAGGGUCUUUCUGAUAGGUGCACCUGUGAGCCGAGACCUGAAUAAAAUAAGAGAAUGGGGUAUGAGGAUAGCUGCAGAAGAGCAGUCAAGGUAGCAAGAACAGCCAGUGCAAAUGCCCUGGGGUUAGAAAGCCAGUGCUGGGCUAUUAACGCCUUCCCUUGAUGGACCUAAGAGAGCCCUUCUUCUCUUUGCACUUAGGAGUCCUCACCAACCCAUUAAAUGAGUCCAUCAGACAAGAUUUCCAAGCUAACAUUUUUGUGACUUUAUGGAAAAACUAUUUUUUUAAUGGAGAAAACACAUUUUACUCCUGCAGCCGAGACACGCACUCCCCUCUCACAUAUUUGACGUCAUUUUUCCCCCACUCCCUUCACUCACACAUACUUCACUUUUCUUUAUUUUAGAAUCAUGCUGAGUAACAUUUUGUGAAUGUGUUUAACACAACCAUAGAGUCAGGGUCAUGCAUUAACAACUGCUCAAGUGGCAUAGGUUAAACAAUGCCAGUGGCACUUGCCCCUCUCCCCUCUGCCCUCAACACACACACUCCUGGGAGUCCUGAGAUCGCUAUACUAGAAGAUUCUAAUGUGGUCACUUCCCUGGGUGACCCAUCUUCAUCUUUUUCAAGAUUGCCUGGUUAUGUGCUAGACAGAGACACCGGGUAAAGUGACCUUUCCACUGAAUCCUGGGAUCCACCAGGUAUUACUAGAAGUUUUUCACCCUGGAUUUUAGAUCGCUCUGUCUUCAGGUAUGAUUUUCUCUAAUCUGGAAUACUCUAUUCAUUUGAAUUACAAAGGGACAUGUGGUUUUGGUUUGUUUACUCUUAGGUCAUGAAAUGAUAAUUUAGCAGUUAAUGGGCAAAGAAAAAGACCUUCUUUUCAUGGCCAGGAACUUUUUGGGAGCCUCCGUUUUUAACAGCAGUAACUUGCUCUACACUGACUCUGAGCUGGCCCACAUCCCUGAAGGAUCAUAUCCUCAACCCCCAAAGAGGAACAGGCCACCUUUGCCAUCAUGCUCAGCCUGGUCACCAGCCUGAGGCUUUCACAGCCACCCAGAUCUUCCCCUCACCUUUCUCCUGGAGUGUAGAGAUUCCAUAUUCUCUUUCAUCUGGCUCCUGACAUCACUUCUCCGUAUUGACUGUGGGGCUCUUUUUUGGCUUGGAUUUUUCUCUUUGUUAAGACCCUGUGGGACCACAGAAAGCAGAAAAUAGUCAUUCAGGGGAGCUUGCUUCCUGACUUCCUCAGCUGAUGUUGUUGGUUACAUCUGCAACCAUACUGCGAUACGGUGUAGCACUGGCAUCAUGGGUAAGAUUCGUCCCCUUAUGUGAAUAAGUCUAAUGACGGUACUGCUGUUGAUGAUCAAAUAUAUCAAGAAGCUAAGUGAAAGCCUCCUCAGGAUAUAAUACUGAUGGAAAAUGACUGGCCUGAGGAAACACUAGAUUUCAUUAAUCGUCAUCUAAUUGCUAUGUUAAAUAGUUCUGGCCAGGUACGGUGGCUCACACCUGUAAUCUCAGCAUUUUGGGAGGCUGAUGUGGGAGGAUCACUUGAACCCAGGAGUUUGAGAGACCAGCCUGGGCAAUAUAAUGAGAUCCUGUCUCUACAAAAACUAAAAGCUGAAAAAUAAAAUUAGUCAGGUAUGGUGGUGUGCACCUGUACUUCCAGCUACUUAGGAGGCUGAGGAGAGAGGAUCACUUGAGCUUGAGCUCGGGAGAUCAAGGCUACAGUGAGCUGUGAUCACACCACUGCACUCCAGCCUGGGCAACAGAGAUCCUGUCUCUAAAACGAAAACAAAACAAUAGUUCUGCACAAGUGUAUCAUGAGAUAUAGAUGGUAGUAGAACAAGUCAUCAUAUCAGGACAAAAAUAUGAAAAUGUAUGUAAUGACUUUCUAGAUAGAUAAGUUGUUUCUUUUUUAAAAUUUAAUUUUAAUUGAAAAUAAAAAUUUUAUAUAUUUGUUGUGAACAACAUGAUGUUUUGAAAUAUGUAUACAUUGUGGAAUGGCUCAAUUGCAUUAAUUAACAUAUGUGUUAU
rnacentral:lncRNA from 10 species